rnacentral:rRNA from 1 species
AGAGUUUGAUCAUGGCUCAGGAUGAACGCUGGCGGCGUGCCUAACACAUGCAAGUCGAACGAAGCUUGAGGAAUGAUUUCUUCGGAAUGAAUUCUGAUAUGACUUAGUGGCGGACGGGUGAGUAACACGUGAGCAACCUGCCUUUCAGAGGGGGAUAACGGCUGGAAACGGUCGCUAAUACCGCAUGAAAUGUUUGGAUGGCAUCGUCUGAACAUCAAAGAUUUAUCGCUGAAAGAUGGGCUCGCGUCUGAUUAGAUAGUUGGUGAGGUAACGGCUCACCAAGUCGACGAUCAGUAGCCGGACUGAGAGGUUGAACGGCCACAUUGGGACUGAGAUACGGCCCAGACUCCUACGGGAGGCAGCAGUGGGGAAUAUUGCACAAUGGGGGAAACCCUGAUGCAGCAACGCCGCGUGAAGGAAGACGGUUUUCGGAUUGUAAACUCCUUUUCUUUGUGAAGAAACAAAUGACGGUAGCAAAGGAAUAAGCAUCGGCUAACUACGUGCCAGCAGCCGCGGUAAUACGUAGGAUGCAAGCGUUAUCCGGAUUUACUGGGUGUAAAGGGAGCGCAGGCGGGACUUCAAGUUGGAUGUGGAAGGUCAAGGCUUAACCUUGGCACUGCAUCCAAAACUGUAGUUCUUGAGUGGAGUAGAGGUAAGCGGAAUUCCGAGUGUAGCGGUGAAAUGCGUAGAUAUUCGGAGGAACACCAGUGGCGAAGGCGGCUUACUGGGCUCUAACUGACGCUGAGGCUCGAAAGUGUGGGGAGCAAACAGGAUUAGAUACCCUGGUAGUCCACACUGUAAACGAUGAUAG